GAAAAUGACAGGACAAAGGAAAGCAAUUUUAGGCCUCCGGGGACAGCACGUUGUGGGAAGGUUCUUAAACAAUAUUUAGAGAAGUAUGUGCCUCCAGUCUUCAGGGAAGGUCUCGAUAAAAAGGAAAUAGGUCAGUGAUCUAUGGACGGAAGCCAGGAGACCAAAUUAGAGCAACGGAGAAGCCAAUCUGUGAGCCUAGGAUGGAGAUGGGAGAGGUACCCAGAGAUAUUAGAGCUGUUUGCCUCUUAUUGGGAUCAGAAAGUGGGAACGUGGAGAAAAAGGCGUCUUCCAGAGAGAAGCCCAAAGGGGUUUGUGCAGAAAGGUCAACCUUCCAGGGCGUAGGGAGUGGAGGAG